rnacentral:rRNA from 1 species
UGGGGAAUAUUGGACAAUGGGCGCAAGCCUGAUCCAGCCAUGCCGCGUGAGUGACGAAGGCCUUAGGGUUGUAAAGCUCUUUUGGCGGGGAAGAUAAUGACGGUACCCGCAGAAUAAGCUCCGGCUAACUUCGUGCCAGCAGCCGCGGUAAUACGAAGGGAGCUAGCGUUGUUCGGAAUCACUGGGCGUAAAGCGCACGUAGGUGGGCAGUUAAGUCAGGGGUGAAAGCCCGAGGCUCAACCUCGGAAUUGCCUCUGAUACUGGCUGUCUAGAGUUCGAGAGAGGUGAGUGGAAUUCCUAGUGUAGAGGUGAAAUUCGUAGAUAUUCGGAAGAACACCAGUGGCGAAGGCGGCUCACUGGACGUGUAUUGACGCUGAGGUACGAAAGCGUGGGGAGCAAACAGGAUUAGAUACCCGUGUAGUCCCUGAGCGGGCUGGCAAGGCGCAU